GAUGAACGCUAGCGGCAGGCCUAAUACAUGCAAGUCGAACGGGCCAUAGUUUUCAGAUUAUGGUUAGUGGCGCACGGGUGAGUAACACGUACAUAACUUACCCUCAAGAGGGGGAUAGCCUUGGGAAACUGAGAGUAAUACCCCAUAGUAUUACGAUAUGGCAGCAUGUUGUAAUUAAAGCUGAGGCGUUUGAGGAUAGAUGUGCGUCUGAUUAGCUAGUUGGUAGGGUAACGGCCUACCAAGGCGACGAUCAGUAGGGGGCGUGAGGGCGUGGCCCCCCACACGGGUACUGAGACACGGACCCGAAUCCUACGGGAGGCAGCAGUAAGGAAUAUUGGUCAAUGCCCGGAAGGGUGAACCAGCCAUGCCGCGUGAAGGAUGACGGCCCUCUGGGUUGUAAACUUCUUUUGGAUAGGACGAAAAAACGUCAUUUAUGAUGGACUGACGGUACUAUCAGAAUAAGCACCGGCUAACUCCGUGCCAGCAGCCGCAGUAAAAC
rnacentral:rRNA from 1 species